CGAUGCACUCAAAGACGUUUUCAGUGGACAUUGCUGAUCUAGUUGAAAGUGGGUACUGGCCAGCAACAGUCAAUUUUAAAACCUUGUAUGCAGUGGAUUGGUUCACUAAAUAUGAGGAUCACAAGAUUGCGGCUCUGGGAAUGUCACGGCAAGCUUUUGUUAGCAUGCCUGAACAUCGCACAAAAGUCUUAGGUCGCAGAUUAAGAUAUGUGGGGAUACCAUGCAGAAUGCAUUACUGGAAUAGACCUAUGCCAAAUUUGAAGUUGAGAGGCUGUCUCAGGUGCAGCAUUCAGUGCCCUGCGUGCACACCCUCCAUGUUGGCUUUUGCAGUGGAUGGGAUCCGUAAACUAUACGGCUUUAAGAGCCAACCAGGGAUUCUGAGGUGUCUUCCUUGGUUGACUACAUCCAUGAGACGACAAAACACACUGUGCAAAGGACCUUGAGAACAUCACCACUCUACAGGAAGACACAGUCCAGUAAUGGGUGUCAGAUGUUCAGCAGUGGACGACAGGACCAACCAAUCAAAAUGACUUACAGAACGCCAUUGAGGACUCUAUUUGAGCAUUAAGCAGCAAAGAUUUCAGCUGUAUCGUCAGGCUGGCAGUACUGAGGCAUUUACGGAGACGGGACAUGAGGGUCUACUCUGUGUGCUCAAGAGAAGAUUGCACAAAGUUCAAGCUCAGCAGGCUGCAGUGGGUCCGACAUAUUCUGGAACGGCAACAAUGUCUUUGGAUGACUCCUCCUCUGAAGAGGAAAACAUGGAGUUACUUCUCCACUGAUGAAGAACUGUGAGUGCUGUGAUUAGUUCUUCUCAAGUGAAGCUGUACCACUGUGCUCCAGCUCCACACUCCCUCCUGCAGCCUCCGCUCCUGAUGCUAACCUCCUGUCUCCAUCACACCAAGCAGCAAACCUGGAGUGACAGAACUUUCUCCAUAGCUGCCCCCUCCCUCUGAAACCCCCUCUCCCAAACACUAUUUUUGUAUUUUUUUGCAUGAGAAUUGUUGAUCAUAUCAUUUCCAGCAACUGCCUUAAUGUAAUUUUUGUGCAUAAUAAAUGACAUUGAUCAUAA